CCCUUAGAUGUUCUGGGCUGCACACGUGCUACACUGGCAGGUUCAGCGAGCUUCAUGCCCUGAUCUGAAAGGAAUGGGAAAUCUUUUCAAAACCUGCCGUACUUGGGAUAGAUGUUUGCAAUUAUUCAUCUUCAACGAGGAUUGCCUUGUAAGCGCACGUCAUCAGCGUGCAUUGAAUACGACCCUGUAUUCUGUACACACCGCCCGUCGCUCCUACCGAUUGAAGUUUUCGGUGAGUUGACAGGAGGAUUUUUUUGAAACUGGUUCGCCAGUGGAUUUUAGAUCCAAAUGCCAACGAAACGAUGGCUUUAGAGGAAGGAGAAGUCGUAACA
rnacentral:rRNA from 1 species